AUCCAGCUGACGAGUCCCAAAUAGGACGAAAAAGCGCGGCCUGGAU
rnacentral:hammerhead_ribozyme from 1 species